rnacentral:rRNA from 1 species
GGGUUGUGAGGUUAAGCGACUAAGCGUACACGGUGGAUGCCCUGGCAGUCAGAGGCGAUGAAGGACGUGCUAAUCUGCGAAAAGCGUCGGUAAGGUGAUAUGAACCGUUACAGCCGGCGAUGUCCGAAUGGGGAAACCCAGUGUGAUUCGUCACACUAUCGUUAACUGAAUACAUAGGUUAACGAGGCGAACCGGGGGAACUGAAACAUCUAAGUACCCCGAGGAAAAGAAAUCAACCGAGAUUCCCCCAGUAGCGGCGAGCGAACGGGGAGCAGCCCAGAGUCUGAAUCAGCUUGUGUGUUAGUGGAACGGUCUGGAAAGUCCGACGGUACAGGGUGAUAGUCCCGUACACCAAAAUGCACAGGUUGUGAACUCGAAGAGUAGGGCGGGACACGUGGUAUCCUGUCUGAAUAUGGGGGGACCAUCCUCCAAGGCUAAAUACUCCUGACUGACCGAUAGUGAACCAGUACCGUGAGGGAAAGGCGAAAAGAACCCCGGCGAGGGGAGUGAAAAAGAACCUGAAACCGUGUACGUACAAGCAGUGGGAGCACCUUCGGGUGUGACUGCGUACCUUUUGUAUAAUGGGUCAGCGACUUAUAUUCUGUAGCAAGGUUAACCGUAUAGGGGAGCCGCAGGGAAACCGAGUCUUAACUGGGCGUUAAGUUGCAGGGUAUAGACCCGAAACCCGGUGAUCUAGCCAUGGGCAGGUUGAAGGUUGGGUAACACUAACUGGAGGACCGAACCGACUAAUGUUGAAAAAUUAGCGGAUGACUUGUGGCUGGGGGUGAAAGGCCAAUCAAACCGGGAGAUAGCUGGUUCUCCCCGAAAGCUAUUUAGGUAGCGCCUCGUGAAUUCAUCUUCGGGGGUAGAGCACUGUUUCGGCUAGGGGGUCAUCCCGACUUACCAACCCGAUGCAAACUACGAAUACCGAAGAAUGUUAUCACGGGAGACACACGGCGGGUGCUAACGUCCGUCGUGAAGAGGGAAACAACCCAGACCGCCAGCUAAGGUCCCAAAGUCACAGUUAAGUGGGAAACGAUGUGGGAAGGCACAGACAGCCAGGAUGUUGGCUUAGAAGCAGCCAUCAUUUAAAGAAAGCGUAAUAGCUCACUGGUCGAGUCGGCCUGCGCGGAAGAUGUAACGGGGCUAAACUGUGCACCGAAGCUGCGGCAGCGACACUAUGUGUUGUUGGGUAGGGGAGCGUUCUGUAAGCCUGCGAAGGUGGCCUGUGAGGGUUGCUGGAGGUAUCAGAAGUGCGAAUGCUGACAUAAGUAACGAUAAUGCGGGUGAAAAGCCCGCACGCCGGAAGACCAAGGGUUCCUGUCCAACGUUAAUCGGGGCAGGGUGAGUCGACCCCUAAGGCGAGGCCGAAAGGCGUAGUCGAUGGGAAACAGGUUAAUAUUCCUGUACUUGGUGUUACUGCGAAGGGGGGACGGAGAAGGCUAUGUUAGCCGGGCGACGGUUGUCCCGGUUUAAGCAUGUAGGCGGAGGUUCCAGGUAAAUCCGGUACCUUUUAACGCUGAGGUGUGAUGACGAGGCACUACGGUGCUGAAGUAACAAAUGCCCUGCUUCCAGGAAAAGCCUCUAAGCAUCAGGUAACAUUAAAUCGUACCCCAAACCGACACAGGUGGUCAGGUAGAGAAUACCAAGGCGCUUGAGAGAACUCGGGUGAAGGAACUAGGCAAAAUGGUGCCGUAACUUCGGGAGAAGGCACGCUGAUAUGUAGGUGAAGCCCCUGCGGGUGGAGCUGAAAUCAGUCGAAGAUACCAGCUGGCUGCAACUGUUUAUUAAAAACACAGCACUGUGCAAACACGAAAGUGGACGUAUACGGUGUGACGCCUGCCCGGUGCCGGAAGGUUAAUUGAUGGGGUUAUCCGUAAGGAGAAGCUCUUGAUCGAAGCCCCGGUAAACGGCGGCCGUAACUAUAACGGUCCUAAGGUAGCGAAAUUCCUUGUCGGGUAAGUUCCGACCUGCACGAAUGGCGUAAUGAUGGCCAGGCUGUCUCCACCCGAGACUCAGUGAAAUUGAACUCGCUGUGAAGAUGCAGUGUACCCGCGGCAAGACGGAAAGACCCCGUGAACCUUUACUAUAGCUUGACACUGAACAUUGAGCCUUGAUGUGUAGGAUAGGUGGGAGGCUUUGAAACGUGGACGCCAGUCUGCGUGGAGCCAACCUUGAAAUACCACCCUUUAAUGUUUGAUGUUCUAACGUUGGCCCCUGACCGGGGUUGCGGACAGUGUCUGGUGGGUAGUUUGACUGGGGCGGUCUCCUCCCAAAGAGUAACGGAGGAGCACGAAGGUUAGCUAAUCCUGGUCGGACAUCAGGAGGUUAGUGCAAUGGCAUAAGCUAGCUUGACUGCGAGCGUGACGGCGCGAGCAGGUGCGAAAGCAGGUCAUAGUGAUCCGGUGGUUCUGAAUGGAAGGGCCAUCGCUCAACGGAUAAAAGGUACUCCGGGGAUAACAGGCUGAUACCGCCCAAGAGUUCAUAUCGACGGCGGUGUUUGGCACCUCGAUGUCGGCUCAUCACAUCCUGGGGCUGAAGUAGGUCCCAAGGGUAUGGCUGUUCGCCAUUUAAAGUGGUACGCGAGCUGGGUUUAGAACGUCGUGAGACAGUUCGGUCCCUAUCUGCCGUGGGCGCUGGAGAAUUGAGGGGGGCUGCUCCUAGUACGAGAGGACCGGAGUGGACGCAUCACUGGUGUUCGGGUUGUCAUGCCAAUGGCAUUGCCCGGUAGCUAAAUGCGGAAGAGAUAAGUGCUGAAAGCAUCUAAGCACGAAACUUGCCCCGAGAUGAGUUCUCCCUGAGACUUUAAGUCUCCUGAAGGAACGUUAAAGACGAUGACGUUGAUAGGUCGGGUGUGUAAGCGUAGCGAUACGUUGAGCUAACCGAUACUAAUGAACCGUGAGGCUUAACCUUACAACGCCGAAGGUGUUU